rnacentral:rRNA from 1 species
UACGUAGGGGGCGAGCGUUGUCCGGAUUCAUUGGGCGUAAAGAGCUCGUAGGCGGCUUGGCAAGUCGGGUGUGAAAACUCCAGGCUCAACCUGGAGACGCCACCCGAUACUGCCAUGGCUAGAGUCCGGUAGGGGACCACGGAAUUCCUGGUGUAGCGGUGAAAUGCGCAGAUAUCAGGAGGAACACCGGUGGCGAAGGCGGUGGUCUGGGCCGGCACUGACGCUGAGGAGCGAAAGCGUGGGGAGCGAACAGG